rnacentral:rRNA from 1 species
GCUUACGGCCAUACCACGUUGAAAGCACCGGUUCUCGUCCGAUCACCGAAGUUAAGCAACGUCGGGCCUGGUUAGUACUUGGAUGGGUGACCGCCUGGGAAUACCAGGUGCCGUAAGCU